rnacentral:rRNA from 1 species
UACAGAGGGUGCGAGCGUUAAUCGGAAUUACUGGGCGUAAAGCGCACGUAGGUGGCUUUGCAAGUCGAUUGUGAAAUCCCCAGGCUUAACCUGGGAACUGCAGUCGAGACUGCUUUGCUUGAGUAUGGGAGAGGGAAGUGGAAUUUCCGGUGUAGCGGUGAAAUGCGUAGAUAUCGGGAGGAACAUCAGUGGCGAAGGCGGCUGCCUGGCCCAAUACUGACACUCAGGUG